rnacentral:misc_RNA from 1 species
ACCCAGUGUUUUUAUAUACCUUGGUUUCACCGUGUCGUCCGUCGUUUUUGCAUCGAUUGGAUUUUUCUAGUGUUUCAAGGUUUCAGAGCCUGCGGAGCUGUUGUGACCUGAGUGGCGGUCAUCCUCGAUGACUGCAGGGGUGGCUGACAGGCCGUGCUGGGCUCUGCCGAUCAGGGAUUCAGGAGUGACACGACGUACUGGGGACUGACCCGCCAACGCCACAAUGAACCUCGAACUGCUCGAGUCGUUUGGCCAAAACUACCCGGAAGAGUUUGACGGCACGCUCGACUGCAUCUCGCGCGCUGUGACAUGCACGUUCAACCGCAAGGGUACGCUGCUGGCCGUCGGCUGCAACGAUGGCCGCGUGGUCAUCUGGGACUUUCUGACGCGCGGCAUCGCCAAGAUAAUCUCGGCGCACGUGCACCCGGUGUGCUCUGUGAGCUGGUCGCGCGACGGCCGGCGGCUGGUGAGCGCCUGCACCGACAACACGGUAACAGUGUGGCACGUGCUCUCGGGCGAGUGUCAGCACCGAUACCGCUUCCCGUCGCCCAUACUGAAGGUGCAGUUUUGUCCGCGCGGCCGGGGCUCGAUCCUGGUGUGCCCGCUGAAGCACGCGCCGGUGGUGGUGACGCUGGACGAGGGACACCGGGUGCUGCCCGUCGACGACGACGGAGACCUCAACAUCAUCGCCACGUUCGACCGGCGCGGCCGCUACAUCUACACUGGCAACGCCCGGGGACGCGUGCUCGUCCUGCAGGCCUCCGACUUUAAGGUGGUGGCUUCGUUCCGCGUCACCUCCGGCGCGUCCAACAGCACGGCGCUCAAGACGAUCGAGUUCGCGCGGCGCGGCGAGUGCUUCCUGGUCAACUCUGUGGACCGCGUGAUCCGCGUCUACGACGCCCAGAAGGUGCUGGCCGCCGGCCUGGACGGCGAGCCGGAGCCCGUGCAGAAACUGCAGGACCAGGUCAAUAAGACGAUGUGGAAGAAGUGCUGUUUCUCCGGUGACGGGGAGUACGUGUGCGCUGGCUCGGCGCGCCAGCACGACCUCUACAUCUGGGAGCGGUCGGUGGGCACGCUGGUGAAGAUCCUGCAGGGCACCAAGGGUGAGCUGCUGCUGGACGUGGUGUGGCACCCGGUGCGGCCCAUCGUCACCUCCAUUUCGGCCGGCGUCGUCUCCGUCUGGGCCCAGAACCAGGUGGAGAACUGGUCGGCGUUCGCGCCCGACUUCAAAGAGCUGGACGAAAAUGUGGAAUACGAGGAGCGCGAGUCGGAGUUUGACCUGAGCGACGAGGACCGGACGGUGGCGCAGGCGCCGGGCGCCGCGCGCCACGACGAGGCCCUGGAGGUGGACGUGACCGGCGUGGAGCCGAUCCCGGCGCUGCGCAGCAGUGACGAGGAGGGCGACGGCGUCGGCGACCUCGACUACCUGCCCAUCGCGCCCGAGGUCGAGGAGCCCGAGGAGGGCUGGCCCCACGACGGCGGCCCCGAGCAGCAGCAGAGCCGGCGGGACAGCCGCGACAGUCCCAAGAAGAAGCGCGCCAAAAUGGUGGACAUCGCGCUGGCGGGCGCGCCGUCCGACGAGCCGCACCCGCUGCUCAGCAGCCGGCCCGCCAAGGACAAGCCGGCCAAAAAGACCGCCAGACACAAGGCAGACGCCAAGAGGAAAUAGGCGCGGCGCCGGGGGUCAGCGAGAGGGGAGGGGUUCGUCGCCAGUGGGGCCGGCCGCCGGCCCGGUCCGACAGGCGACCAGCACGUGUCCGCCGCGCCGCCGCCACCGCUAGGUACUGUCGGGUACGCGCCGCCGCCACCGCUAGGUACUGUCGGGUACGCGCCGCCGGCCGCCGGGCGGUGCGAGGCGUCCACAUUCAUCAAUUCAUGUCGUCGUUUAGUUCCCGGUCGUGAAUUUAGAAUACGCCAUUGUGAGAUGAAAAUGUAUUCGGAAAGUCUGCGAAAUUCA